rnacentral:rRNA from 1 species
UACGUAGGGUGCAAGCGUUGUCCGGAAUUAUUGGGCGUAAAGAGCUCGUAGGCGGCCUGUUGCGUCCGCUGUGAAAGCCUGGGGCUUAACCCCGGGUCGGCAGUGAAUACGGGCAGGCUAGAGGUAGGUAGGGGAGAAUGGAAUUCCCGGUGUAGCGGUGAAAUGCGCAGAUAUCGGGAGGAACACCGGUGGCGAAGGCGGUUCUCUGGGCCUUACCUGACGCUGAGGAGCGAAAGCGUGGGGAGCGAACAGG